GAUGGCCCGUCUCACAAUUAAAGGACUGCAAUGAGGAAGCACUCUGCAUCAAAGAUCCUAUAGCAAGCAAGAUAGAUCACUCGACGAAAAAGACGUAGUGCGGUCAUGGGCAGAUUCAUGGGUAAUUUUCGGCCCCAUUUCCGUAACCGGCUUCCGUCCUGGCACCAAAGAUCCCGUAGCGGAGCAAAGAUAACUAGUGCAGAGAUGGAAGCCGGUUACGGAAACAUCCUCGUAAAAUUAAAACUUCUUUGGUAAAAAUCUUCUCCCCAUUUUCAGAAUUAUAAUUUAUUAACACAAACUGUUCCCCCGCAACGUUGAUUAUACUGCACGUCCAGUCGGGUCGGGUUACUGAAAUGGAUGAAAAAAAGGCCCACGUUCCGCUCCGUUGCGCUGUCCAAGGGGACGUUAAACCAGAGCUCAGACUGCUCCCUCUGGUUGACAUCUUUGCCAGGGGAAAGUUGCAGCCGGAAACAUUUGACAACACGACAGCGCAGCGGUAGAGUUGCUGCCUUACAGUUCUUGCAGCGCCAGGGACGCGGGUUCGAUCCCGACUACAGGUGCUGUAUGUAUGGAAUUUGUACAUUCUCCCCGUGACCUGCGUAGGUUUUCUCUGAGAUCUUCGGUUUCCUCCCACACUCCACAGACGACAGGCUUGGAGGGAGGCUUGAGGAGGAGGGGUUACAACAAGGAGCCUGGCCAAGGUCAUCAUUAGAAGAGCCUUUCAACAAGUGACCUGUUUUGUCACCGUUGGGAGACACAUCUAACACAGUAGAGGAGUGUUGGCGGAAAUUUCAUGACCGCACAAGGUUUGGGAAUAGCUCCAUCCCAGACCACAAGGAAUUGCAGAGAAUCGUGGACGCAGCCCAGACCAUCACAUAAUCCAAUCUCCCUUCUAUUGACUCCAUCUAUGCCUCGUGCUGCCUCGGCAAAGCCAGCAGCAUAAUCAAGGACGAGUUGCACCCUGGCCACUCCCUCUUCCCCCUUCUCCCAUCAGGCAAAAGGUACAGAAGUGUGAAAACACACACCUCCAGAUUCAGGUGCAGUUUCUUCCCAGCUGUUAUCAGGCAACUGAAUCAUCCUACCACAACCAGAGAGCAGUGCUGAACUACCAUCUACCUCAUUGGUGACCCUCGGACUAUCCAUGAUUGGACUUUACUUGUCACUCAAUGUCAUUCCUUUAUCAUGUAUCUGUACAGUGUAAAUGGCUCGAUUGCAAUCAUGCAUUGUCUUUCUGCUGACUGGUUAGCACGCAACAAAAGCUUUUCACUGUACCUCGGUAUAUGUGACAAUAAACUAAACUGAAGAUAUCCGUAAGUUGCAGCCUCAACACCAUUGAAUUGCACUGCUUUAUUCACCUACUCUGUGUCGAGCAGAGUUUUAAAACAUAGAGUCUGUCAGCACAGUGUCCAAGUGGCCAGUCUUCAUCUACAUAUGAUGCAUUAUUGUGCAGGUUUUUACUGUCGAACCAAACUGAGCCUUGCCCUAUGGGAGCGACUGGAUGGUGACAUUAAACAUACUCUGGCUGAUUCCUUUUCCAAUCUCAGACUGCAGUUACCAACUGGUCCUUCCUGAUAGGAGCAUCAAUUGAGAUCAACUAUCUCAGCCUGUAUUCCAACUGUUCUUCUUGUCCACAUCAUCAGGUCAUGCGAUAGGAGCAGAAUUAGGCCAUUCGGCCCAUCCAGUCUACUCCGACAUUCAAUCAUGGCUGAUCACGUGCAUCCGUGCUACAUCAGGUGAUGACUCCGGUUUGGGGCCCAUUUGAUGUUACGGACAGAGUAAAAAGUGGACUAGCUUGUCCAGGGAGUACCCAGGUUGCUGAGAAUUAUCCGCAACCCCAACUCAGUUAGAGGUGAAGAAACCAAGUGCAGAAGAGGAUCCCGGAAACUGAGGGAAGAGCAAGCGGGGCCGGUAGAGUGGCCAUCAGUUGGCCUCAGUGAGUGAGUGAGUGAGUGAGUGUGUGAGUGUGUGAGUGUGUGUGAGUGAGUGAGUGUGUGAGUGAGUGUGUGUGAGUGAGUGUGUGUGUGUGUGAGUGAG